UACGAAGGGGCUAGCGUUGUUCGGAUUUACUGGGCGUAAAGCGCACGUAGGCGGGUCGUUAAGUCGGGGGUGAAAUCCUGGAGCUCAACUCCAGAACUGCCUUCGAUACUGGCGACCUUGAGUCCGGAAGAGGUGAGUGGAACUCCGUAGUGUAGAGGUGGAAGUUCGUAGAUAUUAGGAAGAACACCAGUGGCGAAGGCGGCUCACUGGUCCGGUACUGACGCUGAGGUGGCGAA
rnacentral:rRNA from 1 species